rnacentral:lncRNA from 1 species
UGCUAACAAAUUAGCCAGCAAGCACCCGCGUUUCAAUCUUGUUAGCCCCAGCUACAAAGAAUCUCCUCUUUGUGAUAUUUGUCAGGUUACUGCACAUAUAUAAAUUAUUUUCUUGAUUAUUAAUUUCGUUGAAGAAUUAAUGAGUUAUAAGGUGUCAAUAUUUGUUUGUUUCUUGUGUUUUUGAGUCAAUAGGAGAGACGUGCUUUGCUUUUUUGUCAAGAAGAUAGAGCAAUUCUUUGCAGAGAAUGUGACAUACCGAUUCAUAAAGCCAGCGAAUACACGAAGAAACACAACAGGUUUCUUCUCACAGGGGUUAAGCUUACGGCUUCAGCUUCUGUUACUUUCAAUACUACUUACAAUCCUAGCCCUUCAUCCUCCACUUGCUGUGACACAACAAAAACAACAACAACAACAUCCAUUGAUGAUCAAAAGAAAAUCUCACCAUCAUCGCAUUCAAAUUCAAUCUUUAGCUCCAAUUCAACACCACGAGAUAAUCACAUUAGUGACACCAGCAGCAUAUCUGAGUAUUUGAUGGAGACACUGCCCGGUUGGCGUGUAGAUGAUUUUCUUGAUCC